GUGUGUGUGUUUCUAUUUAUUUGCUUGCUUGCUUGUUCUUAAGAGGAGAAACACAGAGGUAAAAGAGGAAAAGAGAAUUUCAAGAUACAGCCUAAAGACAGCAGCAUGACCCAAAAACUUCCUGGUCUCUCCACCGUGGACAAUCAGGCCACUGGAAAGGGAGAUGAAACUGAAGGCCUCUGCCCUCUGAGAAGAUGAACAGAACUCACCAGAGGCGUGUGUAGAUAAACAUCAGUCUGUUCAUUUGUAAGAAGACGUUACCAUCUCCAGGAUCCGAAGACUCACAUCCCUGCACUCAGAACAUUCUCGUCCUUUGGGAAGACUGACAUGAAAAGCCAGAUGAUAAUCAGGAGGUUGCUGGGUGACAACUGUUGAAGAGCAUCUGGAUCUGAUGCGUCUGUCUCCCAUAGACACGGCCUUGUUGGUGGGACCAGAAUGUGUGAAGUCUGACAGCUAUUGCCCCCUUUCCGCUCUUGGUGUGGCAAAUACACUGCCCACCUGUACUGUUUUGUGACGUUACUUUCAUCCACGGGCCUGGGAAAAUGACGGCUGUGUAUCUUUAAAAGAACUCGAGUAAAUGACCCCUGAUUUCUCUCCUGGGUUAGUAUUUGUGCUUCGGUGGAGUCACCGGGCAGCAGCAUAGCUUAAUGGUAAAGUUCUAGCACUGAAGGCAGCCUGCCCGGUACAGAUCUGGACGCUGUGACCUGCCAUGACAGCUGGGCAAAUUACUUAAUCUCUCUGUGACUCCACCUUCUUCAUCUCUAAAAUGGGAGAAUAAUAGUAUGUACGUUCCAAAAUUGUGAUGAAGAUUAAAUGAGCUAAUACAUAAAACAUUUGACAUAGUGCUUGCCACAUAGUGAAUACUUAAAUUUUAGCCGUUUUGAGAAUGUACUUGCCCGUUUUCUUUGCCAUUUUUUUAUGGCCUUAAUGAGUUUAAUAUAAGUAAUGACUUAUUUUUGUCCAUAACAAGGUGGUGUUAUAACAUGGUUCAGUAUUUAAUAUACAGAUACUGAUUAGUUGGUUGGCAUAGCCAAUUUUUUAGCAGAAGUAUUUAAUAUAUACAUGCUGAUGAGUUUGUUGACAUAGCUAAUUUUUAUAAGUAGUGUUAUUAUUACUAUUAUCACUGUAAUGAAUCACGAUGCUAAAAUAAAACUUUUUUUCAAAUUAAUGAGCAUGUAUUCCUUAGGCACAAAGAAAAUAAAUAUCUACUCCUGGUUGAAGUCUUUUUUCGACUAGAGUCAUGGCCUUCACAGGGAGACAAUCUAUUGACCACUUCCGGAGCUGUGCUGUGGAAAAAGAAGAGACCAGAAAAAGGAAGCCUUGGGGACAUGUUUUGCAUGAAUUAGCAAAGUCCAAUGUGAGCAUUCUGCGUAAGUGUGUAAGGGUGUGUUUGUAUCCUUAUUCCUAUUCCCAUUGUAGGAAUAAUUAAGGAAAACAUAUAGUUCCGAAGCUCUGGGUAAAAGCUGCAAAAUAAAAAUGGUGGACAAUUUUAAACCACAGAAUGGAACUCCUUUAGCAAUUCUAAGUAGAGGCCAUUGGAUGUGCUUCUUUUGCAGUUGUUUUUGAGCCAUUUAUUUCAUGUAAAAUAUAUUACCCCAAGCAAUUUUUUAAUCUCAUCUUUUAAGGGUUUAAGACUUAAUAAGCGGCAAGCUAAAAAUGUAGUUAAACGUG
rnacentral:lncRNA from 1 species